UGCACGUUGGUUUAAAUAGCCCAAUGCGCUUAGAAAAAGUUCUUUCUGAUCUUUGGAGUCAGCGGUGAUGCAAGAUGUGCGCUACAGAAAGAAUCCAGAAAAAUAAAAUUCGCGAUAACAAGACAUGGUGUUACCACCCCUGUGCUACCCACUGUAGGUGUCUAAAAUACUGCAUGUGUUCUGUAACGUAAAAGCAGAGAAAUGUAACCACGUGCUCACAUAAACUACAAAAUGAUUCCAUGUUGCAUUGGGUGUCGUACUGAAGGGCUAGCGUAGUGCUAUCAGGUUUCUUAUGGAGGGAAUCAGAAUAUUUAAGGUUUCUUAUGGAGGGAAUCAGAAUAUUUAAGGUUUCUUAUGGAGGGAAUCAGAAUAUUUAAGGUGGAUAAUAAAAAAUACUGCCAUUUCAAAUAUUUGUCUCGUUUAUCUAUGAUGAAACCUAAACUGAAAGUAGCUGGAAUUACCGGCAGAUUGUUCAGUGGUGAUGAUCGGUUUUCUGAGAACACUGCUAUGGAGUAUUUUAAUACUGUGGCACCCUUAACACAUACAGAUGUUAUUUACCAGCUUGCUUUUUUCUAGGUCUUGAAGACCACCAGGUUUAUGAUAAGAUUCCAGAUGAGGUGGCGUAGGACAAACCAUAAAUUCAUGUUGGAUGUGAAAAAUACUGCCAUACUGUAUUGCAUACAUUAUUGACGGGUGGGCAGUUGUGGUCCUGGAGGGCAAAUGUCCUGCUGACUUCUAAACCUAAUUAAACACACCUGAACCAGCUAAGCAGUCUUUAAGAUUCAUAGAAACUUCAAUGCAGGCGCAUUGUAGUUGAAUGCAGUUAAACUCUGCAGGACAGUGGCCCCCAAGGACCAGGACUUCCACCCCUGCAUUCCUGUAACUUGGAAAAAAUGACUCCUCCCCUUUCCCAAAACCAAAUAAAAGUCAUUAAAUAAGUUAA